UACAGAGGGUGCGAGCGUUAAUCGGAAUUACUGGGCGUAAAGCGCACGUAGUCGGCUUUGCAAGUCGGGUGUGAAAUCCCCGGGCUCAACCUGGGAACUGCAUCCGAGACUGCAUUGCUAGAGUAUGGGAGAGGGAAGCGGAAUUUCUGGUGUAGCAGUGAAAUGCGUAGAUAUCAGAAGGAACAUCAGUGGCGAAGGCGGCUUCCUGGACCAAUACUGACGAUCAGGUGCGAAAGCGUGGGGGAGCAAACAGGG
rnacentral:rRNA from 1 species